AUCCAGCUGACGAAUCCCAAAUAGGAUGAAACGUGCAUCCUGGAU
rnacentral:hammerhead_ribozyme from 1 species